GCGCAAAUGGUUUAGUGGUAAAAUCCAUCGUUGCCACCAGCAGGAUUCGAUGGGCCCCCGGUUCGAUUCCGGGUUUGCGCA